rnacentral:rRNA from 1 species
UACGGAGGGUGCAAACGUUGCUCGGAAUCAUUGGGCGUAAAGCACACGUAGGCGGCCUGUUAAGUCGGGUGUGAAGUCCCUGGGCUCAACCCAGGAAGUGCACUCGAAACUGGCAGGCUUGAGUACUGAAGAGGGUCGCGGAAUUCCCGGUGUAGAGGUGAAAUUCGUAGAUAUCGGGAGGAACACCAGUGGCGAAGGCGGCGACCUGGGCAGAUACUGACACUGAGGUGCGAAAGCGUGGGGAGCAAACAGG